CGGAAGGAGCCUAGCGACUGCGAGUUGCCGAGUACUCCCGUUUAUAUGGAGUACUAUCUCACAGAAGGAAUGGAUUGCAAGCAAUAACAAUUGGUUGUCAAACAGGCAGUUGAAACUGUGGCAGAAGCAAGUGCAUGGCACACGAGAACGGAUAAACUAGUAGGAGUAUUCGUUUGAAAGUGACACGCGGUUUUAGCUUGCACAUGCACGGUAGCCCGGAAGCACUGUACACCAUGUUCUCUCUUGCCGAAAUCGAGAUACGGUGG
rnacentral:lncRNA from 1 species